rnacentral:tRNA from 4 species
GCUCCCAUCGUUCAAUGGAUAGGACGCAAGAUUGCGGAUCUUGUAAUCCAAGUUCGAAUCUUGGUGGGAGCA